rnacentral:rRNA from 1 species
AACGAACGCUGGCGGCAUGCCUAACACAUGCAAGUCGAACGAGACCUUCGGGUCUAGUGGCGCACGUGUGCGUAACGCGUGGGAACCUGCCCUUAGGUUCGGAAUAACUCCCCGAAAGGGGUGCUAAUACCGGAUAAUGUCUUCGGACCAAAGAUUUAUCGCCUUUGGAUGGGCCCGCGUUGGAUUAGCUAGUUGGUAGGGUAAAAGCCUACCAAGGCGACGAUCCAUAGCUGGUCUGAGAGGAUGAUCAGCCACACUGGGACUGAGACACGGCCCAGACUCCUACGGGAGGCAGCAGUGGGGAAUAUUGGACGAUGAGCGAAAGCCUGAUCCAGCAAUGCCGCGUGAGUGAUGAAGGCCUUAGGGUUGUAAAGCUCUUUUACCCGGGAUGAUAAUGACAGUACCGGGAGAAUAAGCUCCGGCUAACUCCGUG